AGAGACAGCAGUCGCCGCGGGAAUACAGAGGGUGCGAGCGUUAAUCGGAUUUACUGGGCGUAAAGCGUGCGUAGGCGGCUUCUUAAGUCGGAUGUGAAAUCCCUGAGCUUAACUUAGGAAUUGCAUUCGAUACUGGGAAGCUAGAGUAUGGGAGAGGAUGGUAGAAUUCCAGGUGUAGCGGUGAAAUGCGUAGAGAUCUGGAGGAAUACCGAUGGCGAAGGCAGCCAUCUGGCCUAAUACUGACGCUGAGGUACGAAAGCAUGGGGAGCAAACAGGAUUAGAUACCCGCGUAGUCCCUGUCUCUUAUAC
rnacentral:rRNA from 1 species